rnacentral:rRNA from 1 species
GUGGGGGAUAUUGCACAAUGGGGGAAACCCUGAUGCAGCAACGCCGCGUGAGGGAAGAAGGUUUUCGGAUUGUAAACCUCUGUCCUUGGUGAAGAGAAUGACGGUAGCCGAGGAGGAAGCUCCGGCUAACUACGUGCCAGCAGCCGCGGUAAUACGUAGGGAGCGAGCGUUGUCCGGAAUUACUGGGUGUAAAGGGUGCGUAGGCGGGGAAGCAAGUCAGCAGUGAAAUCUAUGGGCUUAACUCAUAACGUGCUGUUGAAACUGUUUUUCUUGAGUGAGUCAGAGGCAGGCGGAAUUCCCGGUGUAGCGGUGAAAUGCAUAGAGAUCGGGAGGAACACCAGUGGCGAAGGCGGCCUGCUGGGGCUUAACUGACGCUGAGGCACGAAAGCGUGGGGAGCAAACAGGAUUAGAAACCCUAGUAGUCC